UCUGUGUAGCUUUAUGUGUGCAACUGUCUACCUGUGUCCCCAAGUGCUAUCUCCAUGUAGCUGGAAAGGCCAAAGAUACUGUGACUGUGAUAGGCCUGGUUCUGAUCCAGUGUUCUGAAGAAGGUGCACACAGAUACAGGCUCUCUUCUGAUACAAGUCCUGAGGUUGUACAGGUAAAGUGGCAUCCCUACACGUCAUGGUCUCACGAAUUCCGCU
rnacentral:sRNA from 1 species